rnacentral:rRNA from 1 species
AGUGAACGCUGGCGGUAGGCCUAACACAUGCAAGUCGAACGGCAGCACAGUAAGAGCUUGCUCUUACGGGUGGCGAGUGGCGGACGGGUGAGGAAUACAUCGGAAUCUACUUUUUCGUGGGGGAUAACGUAGGGAAACUUACGCUAAUACCGCAUACGACCUACGGGGGAAAGCAGGGGAUCUUCGGACCUUGCGGGGAUGAAUGAGCCGAUGUCGGAUUAGCUGGUUGGCGGGGUAAAGGCCCACCAAGGCGACGAUCCGUAGCUGGUGUGAGAGGAUGAUCAGCCACACUGGAACUGAGACACGGUCCAGACUCCUGCGGGACGCAGCAGUGGGGAAUAUUGGACAAUGGGCGCAAGCCUGAUCCAGCCAUACCGCGUGGGUGAAGAAGGCCUUCGGGUUGUAAAGCCCUUUUGUUGGGAAAGAAAAGCAGCAGGUUAAUACCCCGCUGUUCUGACGGUACCCAAAGAAUAAGCACCGGCUAACUUCGUG